rnacentral:lncRNA from 1 species
AUGCUAAAAAAGAUUAGAAGGAUUCUGGGCAGAGUCCUAGCUCUGCACAUUCCUUCUAGCUCUGAAUCAACGAGACCAGCCACUGACUGUGCUAAGUGUGGAACUUCAGAUGAUGAAUGUACCAACAUUUUCCCAGGAAGAAGCAUAUCUAUAGUUCUACUUAUAUGUUGCUCAUUUAUGGUGAGGACUCAAGAUGAUCAUAGCAGAAAAGGAAGAUCGCUCCAUUGGUAAUGUCUCCGCAUGGUUCAGGUGGCAAUAUGAUGAUAUAUCUGCUUGAAGAAGAUUUUAAUCAUAGUUUUCAUCACAUCUACACCUCAGAUUGGACAGUUGAAUAAAAAGCAGUUAGAAUUAGAAUUUCCUAGGAACGUCUCCUAUCUCUUCAUAGAAUGAGAAAUUCAUGUCCAUCUCUUCAAUUCUGGUACAACUCUCCUGGGGCAUCCAGCCCUGAGUGCCCUGUCUAACCCACCUGGCAAGCUGCUACCACCGCAGUCAACGCUUGCUCUUCGCCAGAACACUUGGAAAAGAAUGGAGUUUGUGAGAAAGAAAAAUGCGAGAUGAGGCUAAUUUUAUGAAUGGUUGUUUUGUGCUGUGAUCAUUUGUUUUACAUUUUAGCAUGCUUUGCUUUGUAUGUACUUGAUUUUUGCUGGGAAAAAAAAUUAUGGAAAAGCAUGAAUAUUCUGUAUGACCAGAGCUGUUCUUGGGAAUUACAAUGGAACAAGAGACAAGUUCUAGAAUAAAAGCAAGUCUGACCUGGAAGCGUAUUCUGUUCAUUUUUAUUUACCUGUUCAUUUAUUUACCUGUAGUCUAACUCAGGCCCAUUGAAACACCAGUACAGGAUUAAACAUAUUUGGAAUAUAUAUAUAUAUAUAUAUAUAUAUAUAUAUAUAUAUAUAUAUACACACACACACACACACACACACAUAUAUGCCAAUAGUGAAUUCAUUUUUUAAAUCUUUCAAUUUGGUCAAGGCAACUAGUAAUUGCCAAGUGAGUAUAUUCUGUGUAUUUUAAAAGUGACUAUGUUAAUAGGGUAAUACUACUGGCGAUUUUGUACUUUUCUCACAUAAUUUCCCAUAACAUUACCUUUUUUGUUUGAAUAAUUUUAAAAUAACCCAAUUGAUUAAAAGUAGGGUGUCAAAAAUUUUAAAGUACCCACAUACUGCUCUCUAGGAAGUUCUAAAGCAAACUCUACUCUUUAAUAAAGUUUUGUUUUUCCCUAAGAAUCCUGAUAUGUGCACAUGUGUAUAAAUGUAUGUAUAAGGAACACACCAGAUCCCUAAAUAUGAGGAUAAUAGGAGUUACCAAGAAUGUGAAGCCACGGGGCGCCUGGGUGGUAUAGUGGUUAAGCGUCUGCCUUUGGCUCAGGGCGUGAUCCUGGCGUUAUGGGAUCGAGCCCCACAUCAGACUCCUCUGCUAUGAGCCUGCUUCUUCCUCUCCCACUCCCCCUGCUUGUGUUCCCUCUUUCGCUGGCUGUCUCUAUCUCUGUCAAAUAAAUAAAUAAAAUCUUUAAAAAAAAAAAAAAGAAUGUGAAGCCAAAGGAACUCACACUCUGCUGAUGGGAGCGUGGAUUGUUCCGCCUUUGAACAGCAAGUUAGCGAUACCUAGUUAGGUUGAUGAUGCGUCUAUCCUACAACCCAGCUGUCCCACUACUAGAUCUACAUGCCUGUAGAAGCUCUCACACAUGUUCACGACGGCAUUGUGUGUUUCCGUGAAGUGUUGCCACCAACUGAAAUGUCCUAAAUGUGGUAUGUUGUACACUAGAGCUGUAUCUAUAAACAGUGGACAAAUAAGGAAGAUAACAUUGAAACAAAAGAAGUUGCAGAAGGAUACAUUAUGAUGUCAUUUAGACAACAUUUUGAAACCUGAGAAGCAAUAUUGCCUACUGUUUAUGAUUGCCCACAACUGUAGUGAAAGCAUAUAUAACACCACCUAUAUAACACCAAAUUCACGACAGUGGUUAUCUUUCAGUGGGGAGGGAUAAAGCAGGGGUCCAAUUAUCAUUAUAAUGUUUUAUUUCUUAAGCUGGAAAUUGGAAAAAUAGUAUUCUUUAUAUUUUAUACAUUUUUGGAUGCCUGACAUAUUUCAUAGUUUAAAAAGAGUAAGUCCAAUCAUAAAAGUAAUCAUAAAAUUCAAAUAAAUCCUUAUGCUACGUCCAACAUCAUGUUAAGAAUUGUGAGGAAUUUAAAAAUAUGUAUAACUGGGGCGCCUGGGUGGCUCAGUUGGUUAAGCAUAUGCUUUCAGCUCAGGUCAUGAUGCCAGGAUCCUGGGACCAAGCCCCACGUAGGGCUCCCUGCUCAGCGGGGUGUCUGCUUCUCCUCCUUCUCCUUCUCCUUCUGCUGCUCUCCCUGCUUAUGCUCUCUCGCUCUCUCGCUCUCUCUCUCAAAUAAAUAAAAUCUUAAACUCAUGUUUCUAUUAAAAAAUAAAACAAAUAAAAAAUAAAAAUAUGUAUAACUGUCCUUGCUGUUGAUGAGUUGGCAUUAAGUCAAGGUUGCUAGCAUUAGAUAACAUCCUAGAACAAUGGUUCUCCUUGAACAACAAGCACCAGGGAAACUUGUCCCAUCGCUGGUAUGCCACUUAAGUUUGAUAGCUGUAUAGAAUUAGUUUAUGUUACCACUGAGUGUACAUUCACCUUCCAUGUGGAUGUUGUGUCUGAGUGGUCACUUCAGGCUGCUCGAUGCAAGUUGAUGCACACGAGACGUAAGAGCGGUGAUAGAAGGGACAUUGUUUCACUGGAGGGACAAUCAUACUGUAAAUAGGAGUUUUAAAGAAAUGUGUUAUGUAUUUUGGGUAUUCCAGCCCAAAAUUUAGUACUUGGAUGUGUGCUGUGGGGACAAGAAGUUGAGAACCAAGAGCAGAGAAUGGCCAAAGGAUGAUGAAAAUACUGUGCCUGAAUUCAGAGUAAGGCUGCUAAGUGGAGCCAGUAAUUGCUUUGGAAAUCAAAGGAAAAAAUCACUUGGGAUUUCAAUCAUUGGAGAACACUUCCAGGAAUAAAGGGGAUUUACAUCAGGUAUUACUUACAGAUCAUUAAUGCUCUCCUUCCAGUUCCUUUAAGAUGACAGUACAAAUGCCUUCCAUGUCUUAAAAGACCCUGCAAAAUCUGACUUUUGCUCAUCUUUUCAGUCUAAUCUCAGCCCACGGCAAGGAACCUCUUUCCCUGAGUGCCUCCUUUUCAUCUUUCUGGGCUGGCUCUCACCUGCUUGGGAAUACCUUCCAUGAACUUUACAAAGCUGGGCAGGAACCCCCAGCACACUGCGUAUUCUCCUAGUGCUGGAUCUCUCCGUCUAGGUCCUCAUCAGGGAGGGUUAUAACAGCUUGUCUAGUUCGCUAGUCUAUGUCCCCAAGAGGCACGAAAGUGAACACCCCUACUUGUCCAUCACUGUACCCCCAACACCCAGGAUGCCACCUGGCACUUAAAAGGUAUCCAAUAAAAGUUUGAUGAAUGAAUAAACACAUUCACCUUGAGAGAUAAAUAUGGUCUAGUAUGGAUAGGAAGGGAACUGGCAUGAGAAAUGACAAGGGAACAAUAGCCAGCAAGACCUGUGUGUGUGUUUGUGCACUGAGUCAAUGGGCAGUGUGUGAGCAGUGUGUGACUGAAUUGGAUAUCUGGGAAUUAGUGGAAACUGAGGCCACAGCAGGUGUGGUGAGUUGCUGAAAAGCCUUUUCUUAAAAGCUUCAAGAAAAACCCGGCAAACUUUAAAAAAAAAAUUGGAACCAUUCUGUAAUAGCCAAUCUAUUUGAAUAUGGAGUGACCUGUAAACAAAAUUGCAUGUCCUCAAAAAGGAGCCAUGGCACAUGCAGAAAGUACAUACUUUCCUGAAGUUUCUGGGCAGAAACAACCCAUAGCUGAGCAC